rnacentral:misc_RNA from 1 species
UAUGGGUAUCUUCAUUCUGUUCUAAGUGUAAUUGCUUGUUAAUAAAGACUUUUGUCCUCACUUGUCUAGUUUUUUUACGUUUUAUUUCCCAACUGUAUGGUUAUGACGCGCAGCGGUAAGAGAGAACGAAAGCUCAAAUGACACUGCAUAAGCGAUGUGGGAAGUCGAGUGACUAGGUGGCGAUGCCGAGCUCUUAAGUCCGAAUACCUGCCAGCAACCGAAUUGUUAAU